GAUGAACGCUGGCGGCGUGCCUAAUACAUGCAAGUCGAGCGAACGGACGAGAAGCUUGCUUCUCUGAUGUUAGCGGCGGACGGGUGAGUAACACGUGGAUAACCUACCUAUAAGACUGGGAUAACUUCGGGAAACCGGAGCUGAUACCGGAUGAUAUUUUGAACCGCAUGGUUCAAAAGUGAAAGACGGUCUUGCUGUCACUUAUAGAUGGAUCCGCGUUGCAUUAGCUAGUUGGUAAGGUAACGGCUUACCAAGGCAACGAUGCAUAGCCGACCUGAGAGGGUGAUCGGCCACACUGGAACUGAGACACGGUCCAGACUCCUACGGGAGGCAGCAGUAGGGAAUCUUCCGCAAUGGGCGAAAGCCUGACGGAGCAACGCCGCGUGAGUGAUGAAGGUCUUCGGAUCGUAAAACUCUGUUAUUAGGGAAGAACAUAUGUGUAAGUAACUGUGCACAUCUUGACGGUACCUAAUCAGAAAGCCACGGCUAACUACGUG
rnacentral:rRNA from 1 species